ensembl:antisense Gm12963 predicted gene 12963
GGAGGGAGACCGCGAGGGUUCGGCGGCUGCGGAGGCACUGGCCAUUGGGCUGCACCGCCGUGCUCCUGGCCUGGCCCUGUGCCCGGGCCCGCCCGUCCCGCUUCCCCAGCCAGGUGAACAAGCUGCCAGUCUGUGGUCAUCCGCAGAGGGACGCUUUACUGGACAGGUCCUACAAGAAGCCAGGGACUCCUGGAUUGAUGUCUGGAGCUGUGCAGUGCCACCAUAGCAGAAGGGGACAUACCAGCCUGGAGCAGGCACUAAGGAACACUGAGAGCUGGGGGCGGGGGGAAGGAUUUCCCCUGCUCUUGCCUGCUCAGGGGCAGCAGGAGCUGGGGCCGCAGGGUGUUGGACUUCCUUUUUCUCCUCAUGCCUAGGAGCUUCCUUGUGGAGCCCAGCAUCCUCCUCCCAGAGACCUUGGACUCAGAUGUUAUCAGAUGUCCACCCCCAGAACUCCCUUCCUCUCAUCUCCAGGGACUGUUGCUGGCCUACAGCCCAACCAAUGAGCUUAAAUCGAUCUCUGUGAUGAGCCCCAAUUACUGGUCUCAGGACCCUGCCUCAGCAUGGGUCUGGGGUUCCAGGAGAAAGAAGAUAGGACAGUCAUACACCAGCCUUUUCCCUCAGGUAUCCUCGGGACUUUUUCCUACUUUCC